GGUAGUAUGGCUGAAAUAGCGGCAGGCUGUAAACUUGCACACAGGACAAAGUCCUUGCUGCCA
rnacentral:tRNA from 1 species